UAUUGCUGCUUUUUAUUGCUCAUUUUUCUAAUCAAGCUCUCUCCUAUUCAUAUUUCAAUCUCUUGUUCAAAUUAAAGCAUGAGAGCUAAAGGGUAAUUUGGAUCCUAGCAAACAGAUUACUGAAAUUGCAAACUGGAGAGUUGCUGAAUAAAAGCUAAAUAACACAAAAACCACAAUAAUAAAAAAUGAAAAUCAAUUGUGAAUUGUUUAAAAAUCUCUCUCUCUAUAUCAUACUAAAGUUUAACUCUAAGUGAACAGACAGGAUUGGCACAACAAGCUAUAAGAGUAACAUACACCUCACUGUUCAUUCAGGGGGAGAAGGGCCAAUAGUUCACCGUGUCACUGUUCCUCCACCUUUCCUAGUCAUCAUGUAACCAGAUACUUCCUACCUCCCAAAUGUCCAAUACCCUGUCUUGCUUUAUGGCUCGAAUAUAACCUCAGGAUCUGACAGAACAUUUUAUUGGACCCAGGGCAACAUCAAAGAUCAGACAAGAAAAGCUUAUUUACAUAGAAAACACAGUGACUUUUACAUACCUUAUCUUAACCAGAGAUUCUUGAUCUACAAUAACACGACCUGUCUGGGGUGCCAAUGUCCCUGGAAAUAGCUUUACCUUUCAUAGCUUGUGUUACAAUUUUCUGCCACCUCUCUGAUAUCAGCAUAAUGAUGUGAUAACAGUUCACUGGCAAUGUAAUGUUCAGCCGGCACCAAAGUGGUUCUAAUUUGUCUAAUCAAACACCACCUUGGGGUAAAUCAAUAGAUUCAGUUUCAACGUUACUUCGUAACUACUUCAUUAUUUGCUUUGUGCCAGAUUUGAAAGUAAGUCAUGUUGAAUAUUUUAUUUUUUGCUAAAUGAAGGCCAAAAAAAGAAAUAUUUCAAUCAUACUUUGCCUUACUUACAAUGUGAUUUUCUUAUGAAAGAAUGGAAAGAAAACUUCAGUAAAAAUCAGUAAAAAAAGAGUAAAAAAACACAAAGGGAAAUUUUACCCAUUUACAAAUAAGGUUUCAUUUAAUUCCUGUCCUAAUUAAGGGUUUCUGUACAGCAGGCUUCUAUUAAUGCAUAUUUUUAAAUGUAAAUAAGAAAACUAAUAGAAGACAUUACUACUAUACAUAGCAAUUGUCUACCACCUUUGCAGGUAAAGAAUGGGCAAUGGAAAGAUGUUUUGAAGAGUUGAGCAACUAUAUUAAAGUGCCUUUACCUCUGUCUCGGCUUUGUAAAGCUACUUGUGAAUUGAACCAGGGACCUGUGGUUGCCUUUCCCUAACCACUGGCCAGGAAUGAAGCCACUCGGCUGACUUUGGCCUUUUCUGAGGGCUGUUUCAAAUCCACGCAUCCUUGGAUUUAGCCAAUCACAGGUCAGUACUACUGCUCCUUAUAUAAAACCUUCUCUUUCCUUCCUUCCUAAUGUAUUGAUGUACUGACGUUCUUACCAUUGGCUGUGUAAUCUAAGUCAUGUGGCCUGUCCAUAGUUCUGGCUACUUCUGCCUUGUCUUGCCCGAGACUCAUUGCCUUGCCUACGAAUCCUAGCCUUGAUACCUUGCCUAUUCUGACCUAUAUUCUAUUCUAGUCUGUCCCAUUCUACACCCACUCUGUCCUGUCCUAUAGCCACUCUACCCUGCUCCAGUCUGCUCUAUGCCGACCCUCAUAUGUCUCUAGUGCCACAUUGGAUCUUACUGUCUCUUACCUCUAAGACUCAUCCCAUUUCCCAACUUUAGUAUCAAGGACUAAACAAACCCCUUACACCAGUGAUUCCUAACUUAUGGAGUGGCAUCCCUUGGGGGUUUAGAUAAGUGAAUUCAUAUAAUAUUUGAGAAUACUGCUAAAAGCCCAAAUUUAAGGUACUUUUAGGUAAGACAUAAUAGGUGGUUAAUAGAGCAAUGUUUUCAUAUACCUGUAAAUUUGGUAUGACUUCCCUGAAGGGAGUCGCUUGUUUUACAAUUGUUGUCCAGUCUCUUUCACAACAGGUCAGAGGCUGACAGUAAGUUC